rnacentral:rRNA from 1 species
CUUGUCUCAAAGAUUAAGCCAUGCAUGUCUCAGUACAAGCCAAAUUAAGGUGAAACCGCGAAAGGCUCAUUAAAUCAGUUAUGGUUCCUUAGAUCGUACCCACAAUUACUUGGAUAACUGUGGUAAUUCUAGAGCUAAUACAUGCAAACAGAGCUCCGACCGGAGACGGAAGGAGUGCUUUUAUUAGAUCAAAACCAAUCGGUGGCGGGUUCGCGCUCGUUAUCGUACAACUUGGUGACUCUGAAUAACUUUACGCUGAUCGCACGGUCAUCGCACCGGCGACGCAUCUUUCAAAUGUCUGCCUUAUCAACUGUCGAUGGUAGGUUCUGCGCCUACCAUGGUUGUAACGGGUAACGGGGAAUCAGGGUUCGAUUCCGGAGAGGGAGCCUGAGAAACGGCUACCACAUCCAAGGAAGGCAGCAGGCGCGCAAAUUACCCACUCCCGGCACGGGGAGGUAGUGACGAAAAAUAACGAUACGGGACUCAUCCGAGGCCCCGUAAUCGGAAUGAGUACACUCUAAACCCUUUAACGAGGAUCAAUUGGAGGGCAAGUCUGGUGCCAGCAGCCGCGG